rnacentral:lncRNA from 1 species
UGGACCUGUCUGUUUAAAACUAGCAGGAAGAUGAUGUGAGAUGGUUUGAUCUUCCCUUAAGUGACAAUAAAGUCAUUUCCAGUAGUCUUUUGCUUUCUUAGACCAAUUGAAAAAGGGUAUGACUUAUUAUCCUAACCAAAUGGAUAUCAUCAUUAUCUGCAUUAAGGGAAACCAGCCUUGAGCUCUGUUUGCCAAUCUCAUAUAUAAAGUGUGGUAUGCUUGCCUGGCUCAGACGUUAGUGGAGAACCCUGUCUUUCAUCUUCACAGCUCCAACACCUGUUUGUGAAAUUGAACUGCAUUCUUGGAAGAGAUUUUUAUGUGCUGCUAGCUGCUGGGUAAAUGUGGCAUUUCUAGCUCAUCUUUACAUCUUGGGGAGAAUAUCAGAAAAAAGCAGAAGAAAUGUGUAAUAAAACAUGGCAAAAGUAGUGAUCUGAUCCAACUGAAUCGGCUUCCUCUGCCCACUGAUGUCCAUCUCUGAUCUACAGUUCAAAGAGUAACUCCCAUCCUUCUUGAUACGAUGAUUGACACAGCAUGCCAGAGCCAAGCCAACCAGUGCAUACCUUUCCUCUAGCCACAGGCAUGACUCAAGAGUGAACAGUCUAUUCCAUUCAUGCCAAAGAGUUGCACGGCAGGUUACCAUCAGCUUACAAAGACAGAAGACAGGUUCUCUCUUUCUGGGAACAUUUUUGGAUUCUGUCAAGACCCGUAAUAGGUGCUGUCAAUAAGCUUUUACCUUAGCCAUUCAG